rnacentral:rRNA from 1 species
GACGAACGCUGGCGGCGUGCUUAACACAUGCAAGUCGAACGGAAAGGCCCUGCUUUUGUGGGGUGCUCGAGUGGCGAACGGGUGAGUAACACGUGAGUAACCUGCCCUCGACUUUGGGAUAACUUCAGGAAACUGGGGCUAAUACCGGAUAGGAGCUCCUGCUGCAUGGUGGGGGUUGGAAAGUUUCGGCGGUUGGGGAUGGACUCGCGGCUUAUCAGCUUGUUGGUGGGGUAGUGGCUUACCAAGGCUUUGACGGGUAGCCGGCCUGAGAGGGUGACCGGACACAUUGGGACUGAGAUACGGCCCAGACUCCUACGGGAGGCAGCAGUGGGGAAUAUUGCACAAUGGGCGGAAGCCUGAUGCAGCAACGCCGCGUGCGGGAUGACGGCCUUCGGGUUGUAAACCGCUUUCGCCUGUGACGAAGCGUGAGUGACGGUAAUGGGUAAAGAAGCACCGGCUAACUACGUG